rnacentral:rRNA from 1 species
UUGUGUGUUCAAGUUUUUAAGGGCAUACGGUGGAUGCCUUGGCAUCAGGAGCCGAUGAAGGACGUGGGAGCCUGCGAUAUGCCUCGGGGAGUCGGCAACC